CCUACGGGAGGCAGCAGUGGGGGAUAUUGCACAAUGGGGGAAACCCUGAUGCAGCGACGCCGCGUGUGGGAAGACGGUCCUCUGGAUUGUAAACCACUGUCCCCAGGGACGAAGAUGACAGUACCUGGGGAGGAAGCUCCUGCCAACUACGUGCCAGCAGCCGCGGUACUACGCAGGGAGCGAGCGUUGUCGGGAAUUACUGGGUGUAAGGGGAGCGUAGGGGGGGAUGCAAGUUGGGGGGAAAAACUACGGGCCCAACUGGUAGUCGCAGUCGAAACUGCAGCUCUUGAGUGAAGUAGAGGCAGGCGGAAUGCGUGGUGUAGCGGUGAAAUGCGUAGAUAUUAGGAGGAACACCAGUGGCGAAGGCGGCCUACUGGACUUUUACUGACGCUGAGGCUCGAAAGUGUGGGGAGCAAACAGGAUUAGAUACCCGAGUAGUC
rnacentral:rRNA from 1 species